rnacentral:tRNA from 2 species
AAGAAAGUUAGUCUAACAAAGACA